UACGGGGGGGGCAAGCGUUGUUCGGAAUUACUGGGCGUAAAGGGCUCGUAGGCGGCCAACUAAGUCAGACGUGAAAUCCCUCGGCUUAACCGGGGAACUGCAUCUGAUACUGGAUGGCUUGAGUUCGGGAGAGGGAUGCGGAAUUCCAGGUGUAGCGGUGAAAUGCGUAGAUAUCAGGAGGAACACCGGUGGCGAAGGCGGCCCUCUGGACGGUGACUGACGCUGAGACGCGAAAGCGUGGGGAGCAAACAGG
rnacentral:rRNA from 1 species